UCCGGUUUGUCACCGGCAGUCUCAUUAGAGUGCCCUUUCGUAGCAACUAAUGACAAGGGUUGCGCUCGUUGCGGGACUUAACCCAACAUCUCACGACACGAGCUGACGACAGCCAUGCAGCACCUGUGCCCAGGCUCCCUUUCGGGCACCCCCACAUCUCUGCAGGGUUCCUGGCAUGUCAAGGGUAGGUAAGGUUUUUCGCGUUGCAUCGAAUUAAUCCACAUCAUCCACCGCUUGUGCGGGUCCCCGUCAAUUCCUUUGAGUUUUAAUCUUGCGACCGUACUCCCCAGGCGGUCAACUUCACGCGUUAGCUGCGUUACCAAGGAAAUUAAUCCCCGACAACUAGUUGACAUCGUUUAGGGCGUGGACUAC
rnacentral:misc_RNA from 1 species